UCUCAGCCGUGUGGUUUUGUGCGAGUCUAAUAUCUUCUAAUAUUCCCAGCUUCGUCUUCUCCAUCUAUCCCUACCUUAGAUUCAAUUUCUCCUACUAACAUCACAGAAGACAACUCCAACAAAUCGACAAGAAAAUACUUGAUUUCUUUCCUGGCAGUCGCAGCAGCACAUUCGGCUCUCCCCCUCAGACUCCACUCUCCAUUCCCUAUUUUCAAUCAAUGCUUACCCUUCCUUUCCAAAGCCUAACGCAGAGUGACUGGAAAAGUUGUCCAGUGUUGGAGCAGGAGAUCGUCGAUCGAUGUCUUGUGGAACAAAUUGGCAUUGCACCGAAGCUAUCCGAUUAUGUGAAUGACCCCUUCGAUGAUGGAUCCCAAAGCUUUUGAUCAUUCUCCAAAAGGUCGAUUUGGCGCUCAAUUGACGACAAAGAAGAUUAAAUUCACCAUGAGUGAAAGUAUUAUUUUCCUCUCUAUAAAUUCGUUGGGCAACUUCUACAAUUAUGUAUUCUCCAUAGAAGCUCCCUCUGAGGGUUGUGGAGUGUUGUAAAAAGCGGCUAUUAGAUCUUGAGAACUUAGUUUAAUUUUAUUCACACACUACAAUUUUUGCCCAUGUGUUGUUGUAUUAAACUCAAACCCAUGCCUUCCAUCCCACUUGUGCAUGUAGAUUUGACGUGCACAUGAUCACUAAUUUUGAUAUGAAAAUCAGGUAUGCAAAUAUUUAAUAAAUCCAUUUUUACCACACACGUGGAGGACACAUGGUAUUAUUCACAUAACUUAUAAAUACAAAUCCAUCAUGUUUUUACUGCAGGCACCUUAAUUACUAAAUAAGUCCUAAUAGAUUUCAGUAAGGUUCACAUAAGAUCUUGAACAACUUUUAAGUGAAUUUGUUGAUGAAGAAUGAACGACUAUAUGAAUGCACUUGGUCGAAACAUUGGUAGAUUGAAUGUUACGUACAAACUUUAAUAUGGAUUUCAUUUCAACAUCUAUGUGGUUUGAUGUUAAUAACAAUUGGAAGAAGGGCCUUUAAUUUAUAGCAUACAAAAAAAUUUUGUACGUCUUUCUCCGAUGGCUUAAAUAUGGAUUUUUAAGUCAACAUCUAUGUUGUUUUUUGGUGGAGGAUUGUCUAUUUGGUAGUGUUAUAUUUAUCUUCACACAUGAGAAGAUUUCUAAAAUCUUAUGAGAUAAUAUGUACUAAGUAUGUCUAGUUGUAUACCUCACUUGGGUUCAAGAUAAGUGGAUGUGAUGUACAGUUCAUGGACUAAUUCACCGAGGAGUGUUUUGGGCUUUUGGGAAACCAUUUAUUUGAUUAAUAAGUUGUUUCAAUGAAGCCCAUGCUUAUUGAUCAGUAUUCCCUCACUCCCUUCUGAAAGUUUGAGGUGGUGCUUAAUCAUUGGCAUUUUGCUACACAUAUUGAAGCAUCUUUAUUACAAAUAGUUUGAUACUUUUGACUUUUGGUGGUGCCAAUCACCCCACCAAACAACUGGUCAUUCAACCAUGGUCAAAUUUAACUUUAUCGGCACUGCUAUGAAGAACUGUAGCUAUUCAGCUCCUUAUGUGCCAUACAUAAUGUAUGUUGUGAUUACAUCUAUAAUAUGUGAUUACCCUUUUAAGAAAUACGAAAAUUGACAUUUCUUUUUACCUUGAAAGUAGCAUUGAAAAUGCUAGGUAAUGCUACUUUCAUAAGAAGGUGCACACAUGUUUGAUUGUGUGAUACUGUCAGAUGCUAGCACAUUCCCUUGAAAGUACUUUUAGGGUUAAGAUAAUAGGUUAAACUCAUGCAUCCUGAUAAGGAAAUGAUUGCCUCAUGUUAAUGGCAAUAUCUUCCUAGUCUGUGUUUCAUGUUUAUACAAGAUAAUUGUACAGUUCAACAUAUUCUAAUGAUUUUGUUU